GAUGAACGCUGGCGGCGUGCUUAACACAUGCAAGUCGAACGAAGCACUUUAACCUGCUUCUUCGGAUGAAGGUUUUUGUGACUGAGUGGCGGACGGGUGAGUAACGCGUGGGUAACCUGCCUCAUACAGGGGGAUAACAGUUAGAAAUGACUGCUAAUAAAGAAUAAGAACAUAGAGAAGUAUGGAUGGUUGGGAAAAACUCCGGUGGGAUGAGAUGGAACCGGGUCUGAUUAGGUAGUUGGUGGGGUAACGGCCUACCAAGCCAACGAUCAGUAGCCGACCUGAGAGGGUGACCGGCCACAUUGGGACUGAGACACGGCCCAAACUCCUACACACAUCCUCAAUAUAUAAUAUUACACCAUCAUGGAAACCCUGAUGCAACGACGCCGCGUGAGCGAAGAAGUAUUUCGGGAUAUAAAUCUCUAUCAACACUGACCAAAAUAACAUUCCCUCACUAAAAAUCACCGGCUAAAUACAUG
rnacentral:rRNA from 1 species